UAAGGAAUAUUGGUCAAUGGACGCAAGUCUGAACCAGCCAUGCCGCGUGAAGGAAGACGGCCCUACGGGUUGUAAACUUCUUUUGUUCGGGAAAAAACCACCGGUCGAGCAUCGGUGCUGAUGGUACCGUAAGAAUAAGCAUCGGCUAACUCCGUGCCAGCAGCCGCGGUAAUACGGAGGAUGCAAGCGUUAUCCGGAUUCAUUGGGUUUAAAGGGUGCGCAGGCGGAAUGAUAAGUCAGUGGUGAAAUCCUACAGCUCAGCUGUAGAACUGCCAUUGAUACUGUUGUUCUUGAGUACACUUGGAGUGGGCGGAAUGUGUCAUGUAGCGGUGAAAUGCUUAGAUAUGACACAGAACACCGAUCGCGAAGGCAGCUCACUAAGUUGUAACUGACGCUCAGGCACGAAAGCGUGGGGAUCAAACA
rnacentral:rRNA from 1 species